rnacentral:tRNA from 1 species
GCCUCGGUGGUGUAGUGGAAAGCAUGGCAGACCGGAUAUCUGUAAGUGCGAGUUCGAGUCCCGCCUGAGGUU